rnacentral:rRNA from 1 species
GACGAACGCUGGCGGCGUGCUUAACACAUGCAAGUCGAACGGAAAGGCCCUGCUUUUGUGGGGUGCUCGAGUGGCGAACGGGUGAGUAACACGUGAGUAACCUGCCCUUGACUUUGGGAUAACUUCAGGAAACUGGGGCUAAUACCGGAUAGGAGCUCCUGCUGCAUGGUGGGGGUUGGAAAGUUUCGGCGGUUGGGGAUGGACUCGCGGCUUAUCAGCUUGUUGGUGGGGUAGUGGCUUACCAAGGCUUUGACGGGUAGCCGGCCUGAGAGGGUGACCGGCCACAUUGGGACUGAGAUACGGCCCAGACUCCUACGGGAGGCAGCAGUGGGGAAUAUUGCACAAUGGGCGGAAGCCUGAUGCAGCAACGCCGCGUGCGGGAUGACGGCCAUCGGGUUGUAAACCGCUUUCGCCUGUGACGAAGCGUGAGUGACGGUAAUGGGUAAAGAAGCACCGGCUAACUACGUG